rnacentral:sRNA from 1 species
GCCUCUGCUAUACAGUUUAGGACGCAAAAAGGUAUCACCAUCUUUUCAAUUAUUUUUACUCAUUUUUUUGUUCAAGAAGGAAGACCUUUUUGAACCGCCUAAUCAAAGGAGGCCACAAGCAUGACUGGUAAAGUAAAAUGGUUUAACGCUGAAAAAGGUUUCGGUUUCAUCGAACGUGAAGACGGAGACGACGUAUUCGUUCACUUCUCUGCGAUCCAAGCUGAAGGUUUCAAGACUCUUGAAGAAGGUCAAGACGUUGAAUUUGAAAUCGUUGAAGGCGACCGCGGACCACAAGCUGCUAACGUAGUAGGUCUUUAAGAAGAACUGAAUACUCAGGAAUAGAGGGGUAUAUUCCAUAUGGAAUAUACUCCUUU